GUGUUGGUCUGUUGCUGGAUGCGCUUAAUGGUUGCGCCCUUGGGACCUACCACCAGGCCCACCACGCGGUAGGGCACGCGCA
ensembl:miRNA